CAUCCGAAUGAGACCGAUGGACUCCCCUCUUGCAUUUCCCUCUUCUUCAAGUUGACCUCCAUUUGAGUUAUGAAAGGGAAGCAUUAAUUAAUGGGUCAAAACCCAAAUCAGUGACAACAACUAAGUGGCGCAGUAAUAAAAAUUCAAACGGCUGGAAAUUGAAUUUUGGAUUUAAGAAUCCAAUUUGAUUAUUGCAGUAGUAGCAGCAGACCCAAGGGAACUGAAAUUGAAUCUUUGGACUUAAAUAAUUCCUACUUGAGUAAUCAGCAGCAGCAGGAGGAACCACAAAGGGGCCAAAGUGCCCUUUUCAUCCAGUUACUUUAUUUCAUUGUUUUUUUACUUUAUUUGUGAAUAUAUCUCGG
rnacentral:misc_RNA from 1 species